rnacentral:rRNA from 1 species
GAUGAACGCUGUCUACAGGCUUAACACAUGCAAGUCGAGGGGAAACGACGGGGAAGCUUGCUUCCCCGGGCGUCGACCGGCGCACGGGUGAGUAGCGCGUAUCCAACCUGCCUCUGACUGAGGGAUAACCCGUCGAAAGUCGGCCUAAUACCUCAUGGCAUCGUCUGCGGGCAUCCAACGACGAUUAAAGAUUUCAUCGGUCAGGGAUGGGGAUGCGUCUGAUUAGCUUGUUGGCGGGGUAACGGCCCACCAAGGCUACGAUCAGUAGGGGUUCUGAGAGGAAGGUCCCCCACAUUGGAACUGAGACACGGUCCAAACUCCUACGGGAGGCAGCAGUGAGGAAUAUUGGUCAAUGGGCGGGAGCCUGAACCAGCCAAGUAGCGUGCAGGAUGACGGCCCUAUGGGUUGUAAACUGCUUUUAUGCGGGGAUAAAGUGAGGGACGUGUCCUUCAUUGCAGGUACCGCAUGAAUAAGGACCGGCUAAUUCCGUG